AUAUAGUUGUUCCUCUCUCUGUUCUGCUUUAAAUUCCCAAUUCAGAGCUCUCUUAAAACUUAAUUUCUGUUUUGUUUUAUAUUUUUUCUCUGAAUUAGAACUCUCUGUGAAGUGGGUUGGUGUUUAAUUGAGAGAAAGAUAGUUCUUGGGAUCUGUUUCUGAGUUUUCUUGACCUGAGUUGACUCACGGUUUGAAAUGGUUCUCAAUUGAGCUUUUUAACUAUUGGAUGCUACUGUGCUGGAAUGCUCUUCACUCACAAGCUGAGGUGUCUUGGCUUAUGGACAUCAUUAUCAACUCACUUUACAACAAGAAAGAUACCUUCUUUAGGGAGUUAAUCUCCAAUGCUUCUAAUGUAAGUAUAUUUUUCCUUGGAAAUUUCCUUAACAAUGAUACGUUUAUAUCUAUAUUAUGUUAGGCAUGAAUCAGGCUGGUUUCAUCUUUUGCUAUUGGCCGAGUGAUAUCGAUCCAAGUUGAACUUGGAGCAAAUUAUAAUUGUCAAGGGGGUAAACUGAAUUUUGCCCGACAAAAAAACUCAAAAUUAGUUCUAUUGUGUAAAUUAUGUACCUCAUAUUAUGUUGUAUUAUUAUGUGAUACCUGGAAUUUUAUUUUCAUUCAUUAAUUGUUGAUCACAUUAAUUGUUCAA